GCCCCCGUAGCUCAGAGGAUCAGAGCAGCGGACUUCUAAUCCGACGGUCGCAGGUUCGACUCCUGCCGGGGGCG
rnacentral:tRNA from 1 species